rnacentral:rRNA from 1 species
CCUACGGGGGGCAGCAGUAGGGAAUCUUCCACAAUGGACGAAAGUCUGAUGGAGCAACGCCGCGUGAGUGAAGAAGGGUUUCGGCUCGUAAAGCUCUGUUGGUAGUGAAGAAAGAUAGAGGUAGUAACUGGCCUUUAUUUGACGGUAAUUACUUAGAAAGUCACGGCUAACUACGUGCCAGCAGCCGCGGUAAUACGUAGGUGGCAAGCGUUGUCCGGAUUUAUUGGGCGUAAGGCGAGUGCAGGCGGUUCAAUAAGUCUGAUGUGAAAUCCUUCGGCUCAACCGGAGAAUUGCAUCAGAAACUGUUGAACUGGAGUGCAGAAGAGGAGAGUGGAACUCCAUGUGUAGCGGUGGAAUGCGUAGAUAUAUGGAAGAACACCAGUGGCGAAGGCGGCUCUCUGGUCUGCAACUGACGCUGAGGCUCGAAAGCAUGGGUAGCGAACAGGAUUAGAUACCCUAGUAGUC